rnacentral:rRNA from 1 species
AGAUGGCGACCGGCGCACGGGUGAGUAACACGUAUCCAACCUGCCGAUAACUCGGGGAUAGCCUUUCGAAAGAAAGAUUAAUACCCGAUGGUAUAAUCAGACCGCAUGGUCUUGUUAUUAAAGAAUUUCGGUUAUCGAUGGGGAUGCGUUCCAUUAGGCAGUUGGUGAGUAACGGCUCACCAAACCUUCGAUGGAUAGGGGUUCUGAGAGGAAGGUCCCCCACAUUGGAACUGAGACACGGUCCAA